CAAUCCAAGCGAUAACAACGUAUAUAUAAUUGCAACAGAAGUAUCCAGCAGGUACAUGAUUGCUCUCGAUAAGCCAUUAUUCAUAGCCUCAUUAGUUUUACACCUAUUUUUUCAUCUUCCCUCUACAUAUUGUCUAAUCAUUUGUAUGAUUUUUUUAUUAUUUGUAUGUGCCGAUUACUCGAUUGCAUCAUCAAUUUUUCAUCUGUUUGUUACCUUAGUUAUUUUGUACUCUGGGUAUUAGACUAUUAGUACAUAAACGUGAAAAUACAUUUUGUAGGAAAGCCAUCUUUGUCCAUGUAGUAGGAAUACUAAUCUUGGGCAUUAUCGAUUAAAUGAGAAAUCCAAAUUUUGGGUACACGAGUUUUGGGUCAAAUUCAAAACUGAUAAUGAGUAAGAUCGAUGUGAAAGGUAGCAGUUUAAGAACUUGAGAGCAUGCAUGUUUUGUUAUGCCUGUAUAUUGGUUACUCAGAUGUGUGAUAGAACACCUUCCACAUUUUUUUUAUCCUAUAUUAUAAUAGUAUAACUCAUGUUGGUCGUAACAACUUUUUUUUUUCACUUUUCUUUUAUUUCAAGAAAAACGGGUUGGUUUUCAUGAAAGAUAACAGGUAACUAAACCAAAUCCUUAACCGUAUUUAUAAAGUUGGUUGAAAUUGCACCAAGCAACAUUUUGCAUAUAUACCCUCAGUCCCUCCUCCAUAUGAUAAUAGUUUCAAUAAAAAACGUUAAUUUUUAGUUUAUAGUAUUUUUAGGUAAAAACAAAUAACUUAAGUCUUUUGUAUCAUCUCGAUCUUCAGCUUUAACACUUGCUCUGAACUGGCCAUCAUGGAGUUGCUCGAUAAGUUGCUCGGUCAUCCAAAACUGAUUUGGGGAAGGUGAGAUCAAUUAAAAGAUGCAUGUUGGUAGUUUAUGUUCUGCUUCUGGUGUAAAACGUGGAAGUCUCGUAAGCUAUUUGAGAUUUGGUUAAUUGUAUAUUAUUUCAACAUUUGUAUUUUGUCACACAGUUUACUACUUGGGAUUGUAAGCAAAUUAUCCAUCAUCUAAUUUUGGUUGAAUCUGUUUCAUGUAAGUUUUUAUAUGUAUUUUUUUUUUUAAUUUAAAUUUCUAUAAUGUGAGGGUAAUGGUGUCCUACUGUUGUCUUGCAGGAGCUUGACGCAGUCUUACUGAACUAAAAGUCCAUAUAAAAGCUACCGAGUUUCGCCUUCCCAUAAUGAAGUCCAUUUACGUUGUUGUAGUUGCAAAUGAAGCAUUUGUUCACAUCAAUGACUCAAACAACAAUAAUCCCGACAUAUAUUUUUUAUUGAAUUAUGUUCUGCAGCAGAAGUUUCUUUACAAUAUCACAUUGAUGAACCAAAAAUAUAGCAAUGUCCUAAUAUGAUUUAGUAAAAUAACUUUAAACAACACUAAAGUAAAUAUCUCUAACAGUCAAAUGUAAUAGAAGUCUCCCAUAUGCUGUAACACCCCCAUCUCUAAAAGCACGGAAAAAAAUUAUCUCGGUCUGCAAUAUUUUUCCAACUAAGAAAACAUAACAAAUACUAAUAACCAUAGAGGUUCUGCCGUUGACUAACAACUUUCUAUAAAAAAUAUAGAAUAGA
rnacentral:lncRNA from 1 species